GACGAACGCUGGCGGCGUGCUUAACACAUGCAAGUCGAACGGAAAGGCCCUGCUUUUGUGGGGUGCUCGAGUGGCGAACGGGUGAGUAACACGUGAGUAACCUGCCCUUGACUUUGGGGUAACUUCAGGAAACUGGGGCUAAUACCGGAUAGGAGCUCCUGCUGCAUGGUGGUGGUUGGAAAGUUUCGGCGGUUGGGGAUGGACUCGCGGCUUAUCAGCUUGUUGGUGGGGUAGUGGCUUACCAAGGCUUUGACGGGUAGCCGGCCUGAGAGGGUGACCGGCCACAUUGGGACUGAGAUACGGCCCAGACUCCUACGGGAGGCAGCAGUGGGGAAUAUUGCACAAUGGGCGGAAGCCUGAUGCAGCAACGCCGCGUGCGGGAUGACGGCCUUCGGGUUGUAAACCGCUUUCGCCUGUGACGAAGCGUGAGUGACGGUAAUGGGUAAAGAAGCACCGGCUAACUACGUG
rnacentral:rRNA from 1 species